GAAACUCAAAUGAAUUGACGGGACCCGCACAAGCGGUGGAUGAUGUGGUUUAAUUCGAUGCAACGCGAAAAACCUUACCCACCUUUGACAUGUACGGAACCCUUUAGAGAUAGAGGGGUGCUCGAAAGAGAGCCGUAACACAGGUGCUGCAUGGCUGUCGUCAGCUCGUGUCGUGAGAUGUUGGGUUAAGUCCCGCAACGAGCGCAACCCUUGUCAUUAGUUGCUACAUUCAGUUGGGCACUCUAAUGAGACUGCCGGUGACAAGCCGGAGGAAGGUGGGGAUGACGUCAAGUCCUCAUGGCCCUUAUAGGUGGGGCUACACACGUCAUACAAUGGCUGGUACAAAGGGUUGCCAACCCGCGAGGGGGAGCCAAUCCCAUAAAGCCAGUCGUAGUCCGGAUCGUAGUCUGCAACUCGACUACGUGAAGUCGGAAUCGCUAGUAAUCGUGGAUCAGAAUGUCACGGUGAAUACGUUCCCGGGUCUU
rnacentral:rRNA from 1 species